UGAUUCCCCUAGUAACUGCGAGUGAAGCGGGAAAAGCUCAAAUUUAAAAUCUGGCAGUCUUUGGCUGUCCGAGUUGUAGUCUGGAGAAGCGUUUUCCGCGCUGGACCGUGUACAAGUCUCCUGGAACGGAGCGUCAUAGAGGGUGAGAAUCCCGUCUUUGACACGGACUACCAGUGCUUUGUGAUGCGCUCUCAAAGAGUCGAGUUGUUUGGGAAUGCAGCUCAAAAUGGGUGGUAAACUCCAUCUAAAGCUAAAUAUUGGCGAGAGACCGAUAGCGAACAAGUACCGUGAGGGAAAGAUGAAAAGCACUUUGGAAAGAGAGUUAAACAGUACGUGAAAUUGCUGAAAGGGAAACGCUUGAAGUCAGUCGCGUUUGCUAGGACUCAGCCUUGCCUCGGCUUGGUGCAUUUCCUAGUAGACGGGCCAGCAUCACUUUUGGCUGCGGGAAAAAGGUUAGAGGAAUGUGGCACCUCCGGGUGUGUUAUAGCCUCUGGCUGUAUACCGUGGCUGGGAGUGAGGAACUCAGCACGCCUUCAUGGCGGGGCUUCGGCCACCUUCGUGCUUAGGAUGCUGGCGUAAUGGCUUUAAACGACCCGUCUUGAAACACGGACCAAGGAGUCUAACAUGCCUGCGAGUGUUUGGGUGGAAAACCCGAGCGCGUAAUGAAAGUGAAAGUUGGGACCUCUGUCGUGGAGGGCACCGACGCCCGGACCAGACCUUCUGUGACGGAUCCGCGGUAGAGCAUGUAUGUUGGGACCCGAAAGAUGGUGAACUAUGCCUGAAUAGGGUGAAGCCAGAGGAAACUCUGGUGGAGGCUCGUAGCGAUUCUGACGUGCAAAUCGAUCGUCAAAUUUGGGUAUAGGGGCGAAAGACUAAUCGAACCAUCUAGUAGCUGGUUCCUGCCGA
rnacentral:rRNA from 1 species